GGUCGGUAGUGCAACGGUUCAGCAUGCGUUCUCGGAAAGAAUGAGAUCUGGGUUCGAAUCCCAGCUGAAGCA